UACGAGGGGUGCAAGCGUUGCUCGGAAUUAUUGGGCGUAAAGGGGAGGUAGGUGGUCUCAUUUGUCUGGGGUGAAAGCCUUGAGCUUAACUCAAGAAGUGCCCCGGAAACGGUGAGACUGGAGUCCUGGAGAGGGUCGUGGAAUUCCCGGUGUAGCGGUGAAAUGCGUAGAGAUCGGGAGGAACACCAGCGGCGAAGGCGGCGACCUGGACAGGUACUGACACUCAACUCCGAAAGCGUGGGGAGCAAACAG
rnacentral:rRNA from 1 species